CCUAGGUGACCCUCACCUGCUGUCUGUUAACAGCGCGUGGGGUUCAAACGCUGACAGAACAGUGGCAAACCAAAAAAGGGGUGUUUGACUUGGUAAUUUUUUUUUUACCAGUCUGGUUGCUUUUGACAUGUAUGGGUUUCAGAUUUUCAGUUUUCACGUUCUCACUUACCUCGACGCCUCCAAACUCCAAACCGAAGCCGAGCAAAAAAAAACCGUAGAUCUGCAACAUCGCCGGUGAAAUUGGAUUCGAGUGUUGGUGUUGAAGAAGGAACAGCUAUUUGGGCUUGACGAAUGAGCAUGGAAAUGGAGAAAAUUGAUAGAAAAAAGGCGAGAUUGUCUAGGGUCGGCCAUCGGAAGACCGCAGAUCUGCCACAGCCCCCUUCAAUUUCUAUCCGAUUGUUUGUGUAGCAGGCGGCGCUGAAGAAGGAAAAGAUACCGGGCUUGAGCCUUUGAGAACAAGUCCAAAUCGAGGUCACUGAAUACCAGAGGAGGGGAGGUUCUCCAAGUGAAUUUUGUUAUAAGUCCCCGGCAAGCGGUUUUGGCGUGGCUAAAGUUUUGGAAUCUGGGGAUGCAAAGUUUAAGCAAGGCGACUUGGUUUGGGGAAUGACUGGCUGGGAAGAGUAUAGUCUCAUCACUUCCAUUCAGUAUUUGCUUUAAGAUUCCCACCACCGAAUCUUAAGAGUAUAGUCUCAUCACUUGGGACUGGCACCGAUGUGGAUGUGCCCUUCUCUUAUUAUACUGGAAUUCUUUGUAUAUAUCCCUGCUGCCCCUAUUAUUUCAAUUGCUAUUACUACCACUUUCUAAUUCUUCUUCUGCAAAAUUGCCUCUGCUUGAAACAAAAAGUUGGUGCAUUAUCUUCGUAUGUCACUCAUUGUAUUGGCUUCUUCUUAUUUAUGCUGAAUGGUGAGACUGGUGAAUCUAGGGUGAAACAGGAUAAGUCGGUCAGCUAUGAGUAGAGAAGAGGCAGUGACAAAUAAUUACAUGAAUGCUGUGAAAUAUGAUGCAGUAAACAUGUAAAAUGUUUGUCAUUAAUGAAUUCGAUUUCUGAUAGCUUUCAGUUCUCCUUACAGCUUUAUGUCCAUGCAUCUUUUUGGUAGUCUCUGUAUAUAGAAAUUUCUCCUAAAAAAAACAUCGGUUUUCUUUUCUUUUCCUUAAUUUCUUACCAACCUGAAAGUAGAUAUCUAUUUGUUUUCUGUAAAGUUCAGAAAUAUAGAAGUGAUCAUACUGGUGUUAAAGUUAGUUCCUUUAGAUUGAGCGAGUGAUCGAAGUUGUAGCAGAAAGAAGAACAUGAGAGUUUGGUCUGGGUUUGCCCCCAAAACACGUAUGGAUCUCUCUGCCAUUUCCCAAGUUUGAGACUUUGUAUUCGCCUUGACUGCCGGUGUGCAAAGCGGUGGAUAUAUAGAAUUUCAGAUUAAAUCUCCUCCAACACAGCAGAGUGCAUAGUUUGUGUGAAACGAUUAAAAAUGGCCGAUGAAGCCAACAGAGCUGCAUUCAUGGAGUUUCAAGGUCGCAUGAUGAGCUCACCACCAAACUGAAGCAGUUUUUUUUUUUACCCACUUCAGUACAGAUAUAUCAAAUAUGGUGAAAUCGUGACUCAUUAAUGGAGAAUUCAAAUAGAUUUAAGGUGCAGAACUAUAAGUAGUAUUAAUCAUUUCAAGAUGCUAAUGCUGGUGGUAUUAAUCAAAUAAGCUGAAGAACUAGCCGCCGCUCUAGCAGCAAGAAAGUGUCAUCCUGUAGAAAAUGAUACCGAUGCGGUAUGAAUAUCAAUUUCUUGAGAUGCUGAUCAGCUUUUGGAAUCUAAAAGGAAGGAUUCAUUGAUAUCGGUACUAUCUGUCAUGCGAUCCAGAUCAAGUAUGCUUUGUUCUGUCAGUCUGGCAUUCAAUAUGAUUCAGGCUUUAAUCUCCAGAUUUGUAACACAUAACGGUUGGUGGUACCAAGCAUGUCCACACUGUUUUCGACAACUGAAACAAAAGAAGAACAACGAUCUGCUAAUCUGUCUGGAACACAAUAUGCAAGUGCCUCUUCCAUGGUAACAACUUCAUCCUAACUACAUCAUAAUAUGGGGGCUUUUGACCAUUGGAGCAGUGCUCAAUUUUCUUGGAUGUGGAUUGCUUUGGCUUAUAGUCUCACAAAAGAUUGCUGCUUUGCCUUUGUGGGUGAUGAGUAGUUCAAUCAAGUUUGAAUCUUGAUCAUCAAGUCUGAUUUUGGGUUGUUUCUGUGUAUCGCUUCCCUUUUUUGUGGGUACCAAUAGUUAGCCUUUUUUGUUUCAUUCUGAUAUGUUUUGUCUGAUAACCUUGAUUACUGAGUUUAAUUCAUUACUGCAUUUUAUAUUUAUGCUUAGCGCUUCUGAAAUGAAAUUUUUGAGACUGA